rnacentral:lncRNA from 1 species
AAGAAAGUGGGACGUGAGAAGCAGUAGAAUGUUGACUCCAACCCCUGGGAGCUACAGGGUCACCUAAUAAACACGGAAGCUGUGACUCCUCUCCAACACAUCUGGAUUUUCCUAAUGAUUCCUAAGAAGACUGGAGGCCCGAACAGACAUCUCAUGGCUAGAUUCCAUGGAGUCUGAACUUUCCAGCGGAAAUCUCUACCACUCCUGUUCAAGUCACACAUCCAGAUGACGGUUGGCUCAGCUGAAGCAGGUGUUCAGGCCUGAUUCCAACUUUCGGUUCACCACAAUCUUCAAUUUACCAGAACCUCCUUUUCACCAGCUGAGAUCCACUCUCCAUCCUCCUCCUGGCUCUGUGUUCCAGAAGUUUGACACAUGUGGACUACAUCAACGAGCUCCCUUGCCCUCCAGUUUCCAGUUGAAGUCAGCCCAUGGGAAGCACUAGCAGGAGAGAAGAGAAUUCCCUGGUGACUGACCUGUGCAGGCCUUCAAACGAGCUGCAGGAAUUCGUAAGUGUCCACGCCUCAUCCACGACUUCCUGAAGAAUGAAGAUCGUAGGCUCUGCUAGGCGGCAUGUCUAGUCACAUCCCGUUUAGCUGCAUUCAUGGGGAACUGUUGUGCAGCACUUUCCUGUCUCCAUUUCAGAAGUUGAAUGAUGCUCUGGAACAAUAAAGCUUCCCUUCGUCCAGGAAGAUGAGCCCAUUGAUGCCGGAGUGCUCUGACAUACCACGCUGGACUUCUACGAGCUGAAAAGAUGAAAGACGUUCUCUUCUGUAGUGCAGAAUCAACCCACUUGGCUUUGCCACCACCCGACAGUGAAAUGUCGCUAAACACAUGAAAAAACUUCCCAUACCCAGGAGAGCCAGGCCUUGACCCUGAAUCUCCAGGCUCUGAGAAAUCAGAGACAUGGUCCAUUCCAACGUCUGAGACCCCGAGAGAGAAAGCCCAAGGUCGAAGUGAGUUACUGCCACAUCCUGGGACCUGCAACUACCGCAAACUCCUCAAGGCAGGAACAGAAACAAAAGCAUUCUUCAAGCCCAGAGUCUGCAGAGUCCCUGGCAAGAAAUAUUUGUUAAGUGGAUAAAUGAAUGAAUGAUAAAAAAAUAAAGGAGCUAAAGAUAAUAGUGGAUUAAAGUCACAGGUGGGUCCAAUAGUAUAUACAUAUCGUCCAUCUGCCCUAAAGUAUAACAUCUGCGGUCCCAGGGGCCCAU